rnacentral:tRNA from 1 species
UAUAAUUUGGUGUUAAGGCACAUUAGUUUUGAGGCUUAAGGAAACUAGUCAUUUAGUUAAUUAUAAAAAA